rnacentral:rRNA from 1 species
CCUACGGGCGGCAGCAGUAGGGAAUCUUCCACAAUGGGCGAAAGCCUGAUGGAGCAACGCCGCGUGGGUGAAGAAGGUCUUCGGAUCGUAAAACCCUGUUGAUAGAGAAGAAAGUGCGUGAGAGUAACUGUUCACGUUUCGACGGUAUCUAACCAGAACGCCACGGCUAACUACGUGCCAGCAGCCGCGGUAAUACGGAGGUGGCAAGCGUUAUCCGGUUUUAUUGGGCGUAAAGGGAACGCAGGCGGUCUUUUAAGUCUGAUGUGAAAGCCUUCGGCUUAACCGGAGUAGUGCAUUGGAAACUGGGAGACUUGAGUGCAGAAGAGGAGGGUGGAACUCGAGGUGUAGCGGUGAAAUGCGUAGAUAUAAGGAAGAACCCCAGUGGCGAAGGCGGCUUGCUGGUCUGUGACUGACGCUGAGGUUCGAAAGCGUGGGGAGCAAACAGGAUUAGAUACCCGUGUAGUC